rnacentral:tRNA from 1 species
UGUAGAAUAAGCUAAGUUUAAGCUGUUGGGUUCAUGCCCCAAUAAUGAGGUGAAAGCUUCUUCUGUAA